rnacentral:rRNA from 1 species
CCUACGGGAGGAGGCAGCAGUGAGGAAUAUUGGUCAAUGGGCGCAAGCCUGAACCAGCCAUCCCGCGUGCAGGAAGACGGCGCUAUGCGUUGUAAACUGCUUUUCCAGGGAGAGAAACUUGCGCACGUGUUGCGCAAUUGACGGUACCCUGGGAAUAAGCAUCGGCUAACUCCGUGCCAGCAGCCGCGGUAAU